UUUUCGCAGAAUUAACGUAUACACAGCAAGCCGGUGCCUUUUAAGCCUUUGCGUUAGCUUUCCAGCUCCGAAUAACUUCGAGUACCGCACAGAAUUUCUAUACGGAGGGUUCUACAAAUUAGAUAAUCACAACGUGGAAGAUUCAGCAUCUAGAAUGCGUCGUUCGUACAGUGCUUUAUUAUCCUUACUGUUGUGUCUUCAAAUCUGUGUACAAUCCGCAGAUGCAUCGUGUCCUGAUCACAACAAACUGCCACAAGGCUACAAAUAUUGCCUCAAUGCUGACGGCCAACGGAUGG